GACGAACGCUGGCGGCGUGCCUAAUACAUGCAAGUAGGACGCAGUUGCGAACGGGUGAGUAACGCGUAGGUAACUGCCUAUUAGAGGGGGAUAACUAUUGGAAACGAUAGCUAAUACCGCAUACUAGUAGAUGGAACUGCGUUGUAUUAGCUAGUAGGUAGGGUAAUGGCCUACAUAGGCAAAGAUACAUAGCCGACCUGAGAGGUGGAUAGGCCACACUGGGCCUGAGACACGGCCCAGACUCCUACGGGAGGCAGCAGGGGGGAAUAUGGCACAAUGGGCGCAAGCCUGAUGCAGCCAUGCCGCGUGUAUGAAGAAGGCCCUAGGGUUGUAAAGUACUUUCAGUCGGGAGGCGUUACCGACAGAAGAAGCACCGGCUAACUCCGUGCCAGCCGCCGCGGUAAUAC
rnacentral:rRNA from 1 species